AGAUGAGUCUCCCUGGAGUAUAAACCUGUCUGCAGUUACUCUUGAGUGAAAAUGGUUACAGAUUGUAUCAUACAGGAUGGAGAAUAGGAGAGACCUGUGUUAGUAAAAAUGGAGGAAGGUAACUCUUCUGUACGAGAAAUUGACUUGCAGUAGAACAGCCAGCCCAGCCAGGAAGUCUUCUGCCAGUGCUUUAGACAGCUCUGCUACCAGGAGACACCUGGACCCAGGGAGGCUCUAAGCCAACUCUGGGAACUUUGCCAUAAGUGGCUACGAUCAGAGGAUCAUAACAAGGAGCAGAUCUUGGAACUGCUGGUGCUGGAGCAUUUCCUGUCCAUCCCACCCGAGGAGCUCCAGUGUUGGGUACAAGAGCAUCAUCCAUUGAAUGGAAAUGAAGCUGUGUCUUUGCUGGAAGAUUGGAGAGGGAACUUCAUGAUCCUGGAUUUCAGGAAUGUUUCCUGAGGUUUCAGAUCUAGUUCCCACAGAAGUUUCCUCUCAAGUACAAUGGUCCCUAAUUGUCUCCAAGGCACAUCCCAAGCAGAUGGACUGGAAGUGCCCUGGGAGGAGGUGAUAUCUCUGGGAGCUACACAGCAGUCACCAUGUUAUCACCUCCAACACAUAGAGACCCUGCUCAAGGAUGACCCUUUGGAACCCUAUUCUCCACAAGAAAGAGACAGUGAAACUAGGCCUGAGACUGGUAAUUUGGCUCCAAAGCAGGAAGCAUCCAAAGGAAUGGAAUCACAGAAGACGCUGUUCAGUAGAAUCUGCAGAGGCAGGAACAUUUUUCAGGAUACUCAUUUUGGAGACCUUCAUGAAUGCAAGGACAGGUUUGAAAAGCAUCAAGGAAGUUUAAAGGAAGGAAAAGAACACACAUGUGAUCAGUGUGGGAAGUUUCAUGCACAACAUCAGUCUUAUUGGACACCAGAGAAUCUAUACAUGGGAAAAACCCUCUAUGUAUAAACAACGUGGGAGAGUCCUCAGUCAAAACAAAACCUCUUUUAAACACCUCAGAAUUCACACUGGUGAGAAACCUUAUCAGUGUAACCAGUGUGGUAGGUUUUAGUCGAGGCUCAGUCCUUAUUAAACAUCGGAUAAAUCACGCUAGGGAGGAGGCUUAUGAGCGCAGUGAAUGUGGUAAAACCUUCAGUAACAGCAUGGGACUUACCCAGCAUCAGAGAUUCCAUACCUUAAUAAAAUAUUAUCAGUGCAAUGAGUGUAGGAAAGCUUUCAGGGAAAGUUCAAACCUCACUAAACAUCAGCGAAUUCAUACAGGAGAAAAAUCUUAUGAAUGUGAUGAAUAUGGAAAAGCCUUUGGUGGAAGUUCUGAUCUUACUGGACAUCAGAGAAUUCACACUGGGUAGAAACCCUUUGAAUGUGAUGAAUAUGGGAAGGCCUUCCAUCUGAGCUGACAUCUCACUGAACACCAGAGUCCACAACAGGAGUGACCUCACUUUCCCCAGUCACCCUGUGUACACUGAAGCUUCCAUGCCUUUUUCUUCCAUUUCUCCCCCUUUACACCCAGAAUGCCCUCUUUGUUGUUUCCCCAAUCAGAUUUUAUUACUUUUCUUU